GAUGAACGCUAGCGGCAGGCCUAACACAUGCAAGUCGAGGGAGAAGCCCUUUCGGGGGCAGAAACCGGCGCACGGGUGCGUAACGCGUAUGCAACCUACCUUUCACAGGGGGAUAGCCCGAAGAAAUUUGGAUUAAUACCCCAUAAUAUUAUUGGAUGGCAUCAUUUGAUAAUUAAAACUGCGGUGGUGAAAGAUGGGCAUGCGUCCUAUUAGCUAGUUGGAGUGGUAACGGCACCCCAAGGCUACGAUAGGUAGGGGUCCUGAGAGGGAGAUCCCCCACACUGGUACUGAGACAGGGACCAGACUCCUACGGGAGGCAGCAGUGAGGAAUAUUGGUCAAUGGUCGGAAGACUGAACCAGCCAUGCCGCGUGCAGGAAGAAUGCCUUAUGGGUUGUAAAACUGCUUUUUAUAUGGGAAAGAAAUAAAGGGCGUACGUGUACGGUG
rnacentral:rRNA from 1 species